AAUUCGCCCUUACUCCUACGGGAGGCAGCAGUGGGGAAUAUUGCGCAAUGGGGGAAACCCUGACGCAGCAACGCCGCGUGGGUGAAGAAGGCCUUCGGGUUGUAAAGCUCUGUCUUCUGGGACGAUAAUGACGGUACCAGAGGAGGAAGCCACGGCUAACUACGUGCCAGCAGCCGCGGUAAUACGUAGGUGGCAAGCGUUGUCCGGAUUUAUUGGGUUUAAAGGGUGCGUAGGCGGUUUGAUAAGUCAGCGGUGAAAUAUUUCAGCUUAACUGGAAGGGUGCCGUUGAUACUGUCAGGCUUGAAUUUAGUUGCUGUGGGUGGAAUGUGUGGUGUAGCGGUGAAAUGCAUAGAUAUCACACAGAAUAUCGAUUGCGAAGGCAGCUCACAAAGCUAACAUUGACGCUGAUGCACGAAAGUGUGGGGAUCAAACAGGAUUAGAUACCCUGGUAGUCCACACUGUAAACGAUGAUAACUCGCUGUCGGCGAUACAUAGUCGGUGGCCAAGCGAAAGCGAUAAGUUAUCCACCUGGGGAGUACGACCGCAAGGUUGAAACUCAAAGGAAUUGACGG
rnacentral:rRNA from 1 species